AAGAUGGCGGCGCUCGGUAGUAAAUUGGCAGAUGGCAGUUUUAUAUAAUUAUUUUGGUUAUAAGACUGCUUUUAAAAGGAGCUGUUGCGGAUGUUUGGCAUUCCCUACAUCGUCAGUCCGAUGGAGGCUGAGGCUCAGUGUGCGUUUAUGAACCUCACCAAUCAAACAGAAGGAUCCGUCACCAAUGACAGCGAUAUCUGGUUAUUUGGCUGGACCUGUGUCUACAAUUUUUCCAGAGAACCAAUAUAGAUAUCAAUUAGGUUUGUGCCGAGAGAAAAUGAUCGCCCUGCUGUGUGGCAGUGACUACACCUUGGGGGUACAGAGGGUCGGUCCUGUGUCUGCUCUGGGAUCAUGGCCGAGUUUCCAGGCGAAGGUGAUCAACAUCGGCCUGCUGUGUGGCAGUGACUACACCUUGGGGGUACAGAGGGUUGGUCCUGUGUCUGCUCUGGAGAUCAUGGCCAAGUUUCCAGGGGAAGGUGAUCAACAUCGACCUGCUGUGUGGCAGUGACUACACCUUGGGGUACAGAGGGUUGGUCCCUGCUCUGGAGAUCAUGGCCGAGUUUCCAGGGGAAGGAAUCCCGGCACUUGUUGACAAGUCCUGGUGGGACAGAGUAAGACACCAGCAAGACAAGGACACUUAGAUCAGGAAUAAACUCGGGAAGCUGGAUAUUAACAAAGGAUUUCCCAGCACAGCAGUUGUGGAUGCUUACCUCAACCCACAAUUAGACCAGUCAGAGGAAGCCUCCUCCUGGUCGCGACCUGACCUUGACCUUCUCAGAGAUUAUGCCAGAGAGAAAUUUGAUGAAGAAGAUGAACGAGAAACAGAGCCAGGGAAGAAUUGACAAAUGUUUCCAACCAGAAGCAUUUUUAGAAUCUAAAAAGGCAAAAAGGUCUGGUUUCAAAAAGGCUCUCUCAAAAUUAACAACUGCUCCUACUUCUAAUCUUUCCCAAACCGAGGCAAAGAUGCUAUGGAUGAAAGACAGAAAAAGUUGAAAGGCAAAGCGAUCAGUGAAAGGCAAACGUCAAAAGGGUAAAGGUAAAGGAAAGGGCAAAGGCAAGUUGAAAGGUGAUUCUAAGAAGAGUGAAGGUAAGCCUUAUAAGCUUAUUAAGGAGGUUGUUGAGCUGUCGGAGAGUAGCUCAAGUGAUGAGGAAAUGGGUAGUGCAUGUAAACCCAAAGUUAGUAAGUCAGCGAAUGUUGCUGCUGCGUCUUCGGUGAGGAGAGAUGAGUUGAAAUCCCUCUCCCAUCUGGAACCAGGAUUUUGUCGGGACGACGAUGAAGAUACAAGCGAGACAUUGGGACAAAAACUUAAAUCUCACUUUGAUCGUCUCGAAAAAUUAUUUGAUACACAGAUGGAAGUGCAACAGAAACCUAGUGGUAGACAGACGAGUAAAAGGAGGGGUAAACAAUCCUCCAAUACUGCUGAUGAGGAAAUGACAAUGUCAAGGGUCUCACGGACAUCGAAAACUAAGGCUCGCUCAAACUUGGCCAAGAUGAACAUCUCUGACUGUUCAUCUGGUAAUGAUUAUUGAUGUAAUCGUUUAAGGUUGUUCGACCUGACCUAUUUCUAUGUAAUAGAGAGCUGUAACAUUGUAGAGGGAUUCUGUUUCUGUAUAGGUACCAUGUUAUUCUGAAGGGCAAUACAAGUAUUGUAUCUUCAGGGUGUUUUGAUACUUAAUUCUGAUUUGUGAAAAUUUAAAAAACACAUUCAAUAACAUUUAUAUUAAAAUUUGUUGUUAAUUGAAUGGAGCUAAAUUCUGUUUCUUGUCUUGACAGUAUAUGCUUUGUGUAUUGUCUGAUCCUGGAUUCAAAAAACUUUUCACCCUGUCUGUGCGCCCAUCCUUCCAGAAAGUUUACCCAUGAACAUGUAUAUGAAAAUUAAUUUGUUGAAAAAAAUAUGUUCAGGUUGGACAAUUUUAAAUGUUUAGAUAUGAU